rnacentral:lncRNA from 1 species
AUUUAAAGACAAUCAUUUGUAUUUGCCAAAAAGUAUUGCGUACCAAAAUGCUGUUCCAUUUAAAAAUGUUCAUGGGUUCUAAAUGGCUAAGGGUGAUUAAAAAUUUAACACAUCAGCAGAAUGGAAGGCACAGGUAAAAGAAGAAAUAGCCCAAAAUAAUUUAAAUAUGGUAUAGGGCUCUUUACGGUUAAUUCGGCCAUAUUGGAUAGGGAGCAGAUUUUCAUGAUGGAGGUAUAGAUGGAAUACAGGAAAACAUCAUUAAAACAGAACAGUUGCUUAGAAACAUGCAUAGGAUUUCCCAUACUUUCACACUAUUUCCACCUCUUUCAAAACAAUCUGCACCCUAUCCAAUAUGGUCAAACUAACUGUAAGGAGCCCUAUUAUUCAUAAUAUUAAAAUUCCAUAGGAUACAUGUUAGAUGCAGAUGGAAAUAUGAAUUGGUAACAUUUCCGUCGGCAUUGUGUAUUUUAUAUAUCAUUCAUAGUUUUGACAAUUGCAUUUAUCUGUUCCCAGAAGUACAUGGAUAUUAAAGAUACCAUGAAAGCUUUUUUGUUUUUAAUUUAAAUAGCAUUCCAAAAAGGCUUUAUCAUAUAUGUAAAAUCAAUGUUACCAUUUUCAAAUAUUCCAUCAACCAUCUGGCAUGCUUUUAAAUUAUUUAUACACCAGUUUGUGUCAUCAGAGUCUGUCUAUUUUUAUCAACCAAUGAGAACAAAGGAGAUGUAAUCAGCUCCUUUGUAUUGAUUUUAUUUCAUUCGUUUGAAGGACACACAAACA